rnacentral:rRNA from 1 species
GAUGAACGCUGGCGGCGUGCCUAAUACAUGCAAGUCGAGCGAACAGACGAGGAGCUUGCUCCUCUGACGUUAGCGGCGGACGGGUGAGUAUCACGUGGAUAACCUACCUAUAAGACUGGGAUAACUUCGGGAAACCGGAGCUAAUACCGGAUAAUAUAUUGAACCGCAUGGUUCCAUAGUGAAAGACGGUUUUGCUGUCACUUAUAGAUGGAUCCGCGCCGCUUUAGCUAGUUGGUAAGGUAACGGCUUACCAAGGCAACGAUGCGUAGCCGACCUGAGAGCGUGGUCGCCCACACGGGAUCUGAGACACGUUCCAGACUCCUACGGGGGGCAGCAGUAGGGAAUCUUCCGCGAUGGGCGAAAGCCUGACGGUGCACCGCCGCGUGAGUGAUGAAGGUCUUCGGAUCGUAAAACUCUGUUAUUAGGGAAGAACAAAUGUGUAAGUAACUAUGCACGUCUUGACGGUACCUAAUCAGAAAGCCCCGGCUAACUUCGUG